rnacentral:rRNA from 1 species
GAUAAACUUGAGACCGGGGGAAGUAGAGGUACUCCUGGGGUAGAGGUGAAAUUCUGUAAUCCUAGGGGGACCACCGGUGGCGAAGGCGUCUGACUAAAACGGGUCUGACGGUGAGGGACGAAGCCCUGGGGCGCAAACGGGAUUAGAUACCCCGGUAGUCCAGGGUGUAAACGCUGCUUGCUUGAUGUUAGUCGGGCUUCGAGCCCGAUUAGUGUCGGAGAGAAGUUGUUAAGCAAGCUGCCUGGGAAGUACGGCCGCAAGACUGAAACUUAAAGGAAUUGGCGGGGGAGCACAGCAACGGGUGGAGCGUGCGGUUUAAUUGGAUUCAACGCCGGAAAGCUCACCGGAGGCGACGGUUACAUGAAGGCCAGGCUGAUGACCUUGCUAGAUUUUCCGAGAGGUGGUGCAUGGCCGCCGUCAGUUCGUACCGUAAGGCGUUCUGUUAAGUCAGACAACGAACGAGACCCUCAUCUUUAAUUGCUAUUGGCAAGUCCGCUUGUCAAGCACAUUAAAGAAACCGCUGGCG